UGUGUGUGUGUGUGUGUGCUGUGUGAGGGUGCUGUUAGUGUGAUAUGUGUGUGACGGUGCUGGUAGUGUGCUAUGUGGGUGAGGGUGUUUGUGUGUGCGUGCUUGUGAGGAUGCUGUUAAUGUACUGUGUGUAAGGGUGCUGUUUGUGUGUGUGUGUGUGCUUGUGAGGGUGCUGUUUGUGUGUGAGGGUACUGGUAGUGUGCUGUGUGUGUGUU
rnacentral:lncRNA from 1 species